UUAAUCACAAUCGAUUAAUUCUAAUUAAUUCAUGUCGCCAGGCUGGUCACGACAAUGCCAAAUGACGUUAUUGCCCUCAUUCCCGUAUAAGUAAUACGUAAAGUGUCUACGACUUUCCGCGGUCUCGACCAGUUGUAUGGUUGAUGAUCGCAGCUCAAAGUCAGGCGUGCUACUUCAUAAGAUAUGUUAUCGGAAAAUUGAAAACUAAGAACAAAGUGUCGAGUUUAAAGCAGUAGAAAUAUGUAGCAGUGAAAUGCUCUUUAUAGUAAAAUUUGUUCUGUUAUAAUUUUAAUUAAGUUCAUGUUUGCCGAAAAAAAUUUAUUGAUCAAUAGUUUUGUUGGCGAUGUCGUUAUCAUGGAUCGUUCAAGUGGUUCCAUUUCAAUAAUCGGUUGCAAUCCAAUCUUCUCAAUGAUAAACUCACAUGAUACCUUACCUGAUCGGAAGACUGAACAUUAAGAACAAAUUACCAUUUUGGAUUUCUAGAGCUGAGUCAAAAUAUUAAUGAAAAUGAUAUGCUGUUCAAUUAGAUACAUGUUCGCGGUUAAAAAAUUAAUUGAUAAAAAUUGCGUUGGCGAUGGCGUUAAUAUUGAUAGAUCGUUUAAGUGAUUCCAUUUCAAUAAUCGGUUGUCAAUCAGAACUGAAGAAUUUCGCGAAUGAUUGAGAAUUGCAAUAUGUUCCUUAUCAGCAGUUGAUCUAAAAAUCGGAGUUUUACGAACACAAACAAGAACUUGAGAACCAAAGAAGAUCCAAAAUGUGAGAAACGAAGGAAGAAAGAAUUACCAUUGAUAGAAAAAUGUUGUAGAACAGAACCUAGAACCAGGAAUAAGUUUUUCAGAAAUCGAGAAGAUGGGAAGUAUACAUACAAAAGAACAUUUUUCAUAAUUUUAUUGUGUUCUCAUUCUCGCUAAAAUUCGACAAAAUCACGUUUUUCUAAUGAAUAUCUACUUACAACGAUUUUUUAAAUUAGAUAUUGCAUUAUUGGUUUUUUAUGAGGUCAUAUAAAUCUUACACAAAAGUUGAAAUUUCUACCGUUUGCUAAUUUUGAGUUUUAAAAACGUAAAACUUACCUACACUUUAAAAACAAUGAUUAAAACUAUAGAAAUCGCAAAAAAAAUGUACCUACCCCUCCCCCCAUUAACUGCAGAAAUCAUCACUCGGCCAUUUGGAGUUCAAAAGCUCAAAAAAUGCACGAAUCAGCAAAACAUCUUUUCAUUUAAAAAAAACUAUGUAUGUUUUUUCACUUUCUUAAAUUAUAAAUUUUUGAGAGCUUUUGCCCUCGUUUUGCUCGGACCAAUCUAUGUAGGUUUAUUUUUCGAAUUUGGGGCAAUGAGGCAUACUCGUAUUUCAUACAACUAUUGGAAAAUAUUGUCAAAAUUUUAGGCAUCACUUUCUGGCACGUGUCAUUGAUUUUAAUGCUUUAAUCCCUUUUUUUCCCCUUCAUAUUGAUCAAUUUUUCAGGAAUUUUUGCAUUUAAAAUAUUCAGAAAAUUACUUCGUAUUUCGACUUUCUGAUACCUAAUGAUCUUGUUGUUUUACCAUGCUUUCGGGGAAACCCUGGCUUACUAUUAUCACAAAAAUAAUGUAGAACUACUCGUAAUUGUAUAAAAUUACUUACGUUUACCCGCGCAGGUAAUUAACAUAAUUUAUGCAAAUGCUUUAUGCGCUCGAAUUAUUUAUGAGAUCAGAAAACAUUAUACAUGAAUGAGAAAGCAUGUUGCCUACUUUAAGGUAAAUGUGAUCAGUACCGUUGUACCUAUUUCAAUAGAUAGGUACAAUUUAACAUUAUGGUGAUUAUUGUGUGACUUGAAUAAUUUCUGCUUUUUAAAUUAAACCCUAAAACACCACUGCCCUCAUACAUACAUUUCAAAAUAAUUUACACACCAUACUUAUUUUUUGUUUCUGCCAAUAUGCUCGUUGGCGCAUGUUUUCUUGAUCUUUUACCGACUUUUCGGAGAAAAGUGGAGUAUUGUAUUUGUUGCGAUAGUGGAAGUUGGGUCGGGGAGUGACUUUUCUUUGCGUUUCGAGGGUCUGGGAUCACGAUAGGCUCAUUCCCAAAAUUUCAGGUUUCCUUAUAUAAGGUUUAUAUAUAUAUAUACUGUCUUAGAGUACAUUGCGAGAUCCGACAUAUACACAGGCAUUACGAGAUCCACCCCAAAAAAUUUCGAAAAAUGCUAAAAACUCAAAUAAUAACCCUACAACUUCGUUCGAACGCACGUUCCUGUGUGUAAUCAGGGCCUUUCUAUGCAUUGCCGCCAUCAAUUUCGCGAUCCGCAUAAACCGAGAUCCACUAACGGCCCGAACGUGAUUUGGGGGUGGAUCUCGCAAGAUGCGUCGUUUAUCUAUUUUCAAAAAUUGUAUAUAAGUAUAUAAAUAGUAGGUAAAACGAGAUCCGGCUGAAAAUGGGUGUACAGGGUCCCCCGGAUCUCGCGAGUACCGUGGCAUAUGAAAGAACUUGCGAGAUCCGGCAAAAGGAUCUCAGGAUCUCGCAAUGCCCGAUUUUAUAUAAAACGGAUCUCGUAAUGUAUGGUUUUUACAUGUAUAUCAAUACCUACUUUUGUAACGUUAUGGCACCAUUUAGUUGAACGUUGUUGUGGCACCAGGUAGCAAGGGAAGAACACUUAGUGAUUUACGCGAGCGUUUUUCUGGCAACGGCUUAUUCAUUAAUAAAAACCAACUGGUGCCUCUAUAUUAUAUGAGUAUAGAGUGAUGAUUAAGGGUAUAAGCAACAGCGCCAUGUAAUCGAAACAUUUUACAACAAAUUUUUACAAAAGAAUACAUCGAAAACCAAUGAGACCUGAAAAUGGUGCCACAACGUCUGUUGACUAUAUAAUUUUUCCAAUAUUAAAAGGGACUUUUAAAUGUCGUUGUGGCACCAUUACAAAAAUUUGCCUAACGACCCCUGGCAGUGCCCUGAUGACAUUCCACACGAUUUUAAAUAAAAUACGUUGUGGCACCACCAAAUGGUGCCACAACGUAAAUUUUGGUGCCUGAACGUGUGUAAAGUAUAUAAAAUGGUGUCACAAGUACAUCAAUUAUGAGUAUAUAUAUAUAAAUAUUCUAGGGGGUAAACUCGUAACUUUUUUCUAGAUUAACCAGCAAACUCAUAACGUUUUGACAAACUCGUAACCUUUUUAGGACGUGACUUUUCGAUGAGGUGCCAUAUGAAUCUACAAGGUGUGGGGAGUCUACUGGCAAAGUUUGAGCAGGGACGUGAGAUUGCUGUUUAUACAAUUUCACUUUUGACUCAAUUUUCAAAUGAGUACAUAGCCUAAUUAACAGGUAUGAGGAUAUGAGGAAAAGGUUUUUAUUGCCAAGAAUCAUUUUUUAUGUUUUUUACGUUCUUUUUGGUGAUUUUGGUGGUUGAAGAUGUCCUCUUUCACAUGGCGUGGUCAAAAAUCGUCUAAAAUAACUUUUUGACUGCUGAAUUUUAAUUUUAAGUUGAUUAUACAGGUCCAAAUUUUCGUGUUUUUCAAUCUAAACAUUGAUUUUAUGGGAAAAGUAUGCAUCCUAGGAAAAAAUGCCUUGAAGGAAAUUGUAGAGAAUUAAAUUUCCUUUCUGCUCAGAGCUGGUUAUUUUUCUGUAGGAUGCUUUGUUAAAAAAGCAUUUGCGAAAAACAGAGACGUAUGAGACUUUUAAAAAAAAGCUUUUCUGAAAAAUUGAUGUUUUGGCAAUGAAAUACCUUUCCACAGGUGACCCAAAAAUCAAGUUAACGAAUAUAACGCGGCCUAACAUCGAGUACUAUCAGGCCUAUGGGGUGACGCGUCGAGCGUAUGCACAGCAACGAAGUUACAGAGGGGUCUUGAGAUUGCUGUUUAUACAAAACGUUAUGAGUUUACCUGUAUGCGGCUAUGUAUAGAGAUAUAUAUAUACAAUUUUUUUUUUGAAUUUUUGAUUUAAUUCGAAAGCUACGAACUUUUGGAUCGAAGUGAAUAUGCGAAAUUAUAGAGAUCGUAGAGGCCUACUUAGAUUUCAAGUUUCAUCAAAAUCGGUUCAGCAGUUUU